AAAAACUGUUAUAACAGAAGCAAAUCUUCAACCGACCUUAACCCCGAAAUGAACCAUAACAGACUUCGAAGCUAACAUACUCUUCAUAACCGCCCCCAACUCCAUAGCAGAAAAAAGAGUAUAAGUAGAAUCUGCUAACAACCAUUCCACCAACUCUAAAACCACGCCGUAAUAGAACCGCUAACCUCCCUCCAUAACUCUCAUCCACACCCUUCAACUUAAAUCCAUAAUCAACUUCUCAAACAAACUAUUUUUAUAACAGAA
rnacentral:lncRNA from 1 species